rnacentral:rRNA from 1 species
AGGACGAACGCUGGCGGCGUGCUUAACACAUGCAAGUCGAGCGAGGCUCCUCCUUCGGGAGGAAGCCCUAGCGGCGAACGGGUGAGUAACACGUGGGCAACCUGCCCCUAGCACUGGGAUAACCCCGGGAAACCGGGGCUAAUACCGGAUACGACUUCGGAAGGCAUCUUCUGAAGUGGAAAAGGUUACUGGCUAGGGAUGGGCCCGCGGCCUAUCAGCUUGUUGGUGGGGUAAUGGCCCACCAAGGCGACGACGGGUAGCCGGCCUGAGAGGGCGACCGGCCACACUGGGACUGAGACACGGCCCAGACUCCUACGGGAGACAGCAGUGGGGAAUAUUGCACAAUGGGCGAAAGCCUGAUGCAGCGACGCCGCGUGAGGGAUGACGGCCUUCGGGUUGUAAACCUCUUUCAGCAGGGACGAAGCGAAAGUGACGGUACCUGCAGAAGAGCACCGGCCAACUACGCGCCAGCAGCCGC